rnacentral:lncRNA from 1 species
GCGCUCCGUAUAGUCCGGAGAGCGAAGUCCAGAGCGCGAGAGCAAGGGUGGGAGAAAGGGGUGUCCCCGCGUCAACACCAGGGACCUCUUUCCCUGCCACGAUCCAGCCCCGGGUAGCCGGUGGCGCUGGCGGCGCGCCGCCGAUGGAGUUCACUUGAGCCAGGAACAGGCGGGAGAGGCAGGCCGGAGCGGAGCUAGUCCCGCGCGCCCCGUAGCAGCUUCAACCUCAGCUUUCCGCACCGCAGGCGGGCGACACCCGCGGCAGAUCGCGACUCCCGGAGCGUGUCGGUGCCACGCCGCGGCGGGCCCAGGACCCAUCAGAUCAGCCCGCGGCAGUGCCGUACAGGCGGCACCCGCUGUUGGGGAGCCCGAGGCGGCCG